rnacentral:rRNA from 1 species
UACGUAGGGGGCUAGCGUUGUCCGGAAUCAUUGGGCGUAAAGCGCUCGUAGGCGGCUCAGUAAGUCUGGUGUGAAACCCCCAGGCUCAACCUGGGGACGCCACCCGAUACUGCUGUGGCUAGAGUCCAGUAGGGGAGUGUGGAAUUCCCGGUGUAGCGGUGAAAUGCGCAGAUAUCGGGAGGAACACCAGCGGCGAAGGCGGCACUCUGGGCUGGAACUGACGCUGAGGAGCGAAAGCGUGGGUAGCAAACAGG